AUAAAUAGGGAAUCAUUUUGGUCCAAAUUCAUUAAGUGUACGCAAUUGUACGCUGCAUCUUCUGCUGACCAAACAAAAAUAUAUUUUUUUAACAUGAAACAUUUUUUACUAUCAAUCGUCGUAAUUCUAUUCAUCAUAAAUACAUGUAUAGCGGAGCCGAAAACAAUUGGAAGGUGGUGCAGUUGGUUGUUUGGAUGUUAUGAAGAGGUAUUGGACUAUAGCGAGUGUGAAGAAUUAUUUAUUGGAAAUGGGGAUCACAAUAGUAACAACUUC